rnacentral:sRNA from 1 species
UCUCCCCUUGGAACCCUAACUCAUUCUUAGACUCACGUGGAGACGACUGGAAUGGUAGCGUCGAAGUCUCGCUCACGCUCACUCAAAGAGAAGAAGUUCGUCCAUUCUUCUCGUGUUCACUCACCUUCUCCGGAGAGUUAUUCUUUCAAUCGGUUGAAGGUGAGGUCCAGCGAUUAAAUGUUGCAAAGUCAGUAAGAUGAAACAUUUGAUGUUUAAGAGGCAGAAUGAGCUUAAAGAAUUUUACAGAGGAGUUCACAUGGAUUUCGAUAGUGAAUUUGCAAGACAGAUUUUGACUAGUCUCAUUGAAUGUGGAUUAGGUUAAUGAGGCUUUAAAGAGAAAGAGUGGAGCCAAUUUGUUUGCAGUUGUGAUUUGCUUCCAGCAGCAACUUCCUUGCAACUUAG